UACGGGGGGGGCAAGCGUUGUUCGGAAUUACUGGGCGUAAAGGGCUCGUAGGUGGCCAACUAAGUCAGACGUGAAAUCCCCAGGCUCAACUUGGGAACUGCGUCUGAUACUGGAUGGCUUGAAUUCGGGAGAGGGAUGCAGAAUUCCAGGUGUAGCGGUGAAAUGCGUAGAUAUCGAGAGGAACACCUGCGGCGAAGGCGGGUUGCUGGGCUGACACUGACGCUGACAGCGCGAAAGCUAGGGGAGCGAACGGG
rnacentral:rRNA from 1 species